rnacentral:rRNA from 1 species
GACGAACGCUGGCGGCGUGCUUAACACAUGCAAGUCGAGCGAUGAAACCCUUCGGGGUGGAUUAGCGGCGGACGGGUGAGUAACACGUGGGCAACCUGCCUUACAGUGGGGGAUAGCCUUCCGAAAGGAAGAUUAAUACCGCAUAAUAUGCAAUUCUCGCAUGAGAGAUGUAUCAAAGGAGCAAUCCGCUGUAAGAUGGGCCCGCGGCGCAUUAGCUAGUUGGUGAGGUAACGGCUCACCAAGGCGACGAUGCGUAGCCGACCUGAGAGGGUGAUCGGCCACAUUGGAACUGAGACACGGUCCAGACUCCUACGGGUGGCUG